UACGUAGGGCGCGAGCGUUGUCCGGAAUUAUUGGGCGUAAAGAGCGUGUAGGCGGCCAGAUAAGUCCGCUGUGAAAUCUCGAGGCUCAACUUCGAGCUGUCGGUGGAAACUAUCUGGCUAGAGUCCGGAAGAGGAGAAUGGAAUUCCUGGUGUAGCGGUGAAAUGCGCAGAUAUCAGGAGGAACACCGGUGGCGAAGGCGGUUCUCUGGGCAUGUUCUGACGCUGAGGAGCGAAAGUGUGGGGAGCGAACAGG
rnacentral:rRNA from 1 species